CUCUUUGAACAUGAAGAUUCCACUGCAGGAGGCAACCUCUUCUUGGCGUUCAAACGCUGGCGCCCUCAAGAAUCAGUCACUCACUCACCCUUCACAACACUUCUCACCUGUAUUUGAAGGCAGAAGAAGUUAAAACACAAAGCCCCUUUCCAUCCUGAAGCAUGCAGCCCCUUCCCAUGCUAUGGGGCACCCUCUUCUGGUUUUGGAGCAUUCACCAACAUUGAAGAGGACACAGUUCUUGUUGCAGUCCACAGCAUCAAAGGAUGAGACAUCCUCCUAUUGGGAGCCUGGAAACAACAACAACAACACUACAGGGAGAAAAAUUGCUCCAAAUCCUGCUGACUGAAGAGAAGAGGCAUUAAAAUGGCGAGGAGAGAACAAGCAUUGAUCAGAUUCUGUGUCUACUCAACAUAAAAGCUAUCCAGACUACUAAGGGAAAAGGAGAAGUUUUGAAACACAUAUAGACACUCAGAAACCUGAACAGACCAGUAGAAGACCAAAAUGAAUGGCUGAAACUGGUAGAAAAUAGUGGAAACUGAGGAUGUAGAAGAAGAAAGAAGUUCUGUAUUACAUAGCACAUCUGAGGAAGGUUUAUUCCAAUAAAUAUCUUUAUAAGAGAAAGGAUGGUGUUGUGAUGAAGGCAUGGAAAUGGGAGAUGUGGAUUCUACUGCCAGCAUUGACACAGACCUCCUGUGAGAAGUUACUAAACUCUUCUCCACCUCAGUAGAAUGGGAAUGGUAUUCCUCUGUGUCACAGCUUUGCUAAGUUGUAAAUCUUUCCAAAGUGUAA